ACCUCAAGCUGAUAAUUUUGAUGACAUUAAUUAUUGGGCAACAGUAUAUUCUUAAGGCAUUCCUAAAAUAUUUCCCACCCUGUCCUUCCCCAGUAGGUUUGUAGUUACUUGUUCCUGCUUGCGAAUUCAAACUUGUCAUUCCAUCAGCUUGAUUCCUGGGAGAAGAGGUGAAAUUGAGACAUUGCAACACAUCCUGGACAGAGGAAAAAAUCUACGAGGUGUUCCUUUAAAAAUGUUUUAUUUCCACUCAACAUGAAGAUCUGAACUGAAAAUCAACAGGCAUUGACAUCAACUGAGGAAAAUAUGACUUUGAUCACUUUUGAUACUAUAGAAACUCAAACACCUAGAGUCUGCAUACAAGGCACUCCACAAACAAAUUGUUGAAAAUACAAGCAAGACCUGACACAUCAGAACAUAAAGAGGAAAAUGUGACUCAGAACCACGCUAAUGCUGAGUGAACCAAACUCUGAACUUCCAGGAAGUUCGCAGUGAGGCAGACGUGCUCUUGCAGAAGGAUGGUGAUGUGGAACUGGGAAGAGUUGCUGCAUAACUGUGACUGUACGGCAUUUUAACAUCAAUGCCACGAAUCCCGAGCCAGAUGCAUUCAAGUCUUCGCCUGUGGCUUGAUGACACAUACCCUUUUCACAACAAUCAGUGGAUUUGUGGUAACAAUCAAAAGGCAUUUAAAAUGCUUGGAAUUUGGUUUAGAAACCCGCCUUGGCAUCCCGCUUUUCAUGUCUUAGCAUAAAUGCCUGAACUGUUUUUAUUGUUCAGCAACUGCUCAUUUAUUCUGAAAGAAAGCUCUUGGCCUGCCGUAUUUGCAUUCAACAAUACUUGAAACAAGACGUUAAAGACUUUUUUUGUUUAUGCCGGUGAAAUAUUUCAGAUGAAUAAUGCCAACUGCUGGGUCAGACCUUUUGGUUUUAAGUAAGAGUUUAUUCCAGGCUUGCUAACAGAGAGGGUUUUCUUUUUUUUUUUUUUUUUAGAGAGAGAGUUUCUGAUAAACCGCCAGCUUGGAAAUAUGUCGCAGAACUGGAAUGCCUUUUUGGUUUAUAUUGCAGCUGUACCAAAUUUGUAAUAUAUUUCUGAUUUCUUUUCCCUUUAUGACUCUAUUUCAACUGUUUAUGUAAUUAAUUAAUUUACAGUUGAUGAAAAUCUACAUAACUACUUUCAAUAAAAACCAAGAAAAGAGCAAUGUUAAUGUGAAACACAUUUAUGAGAAAAUCUUCUCUUUUUCGGGGGGAGGAAGGGACAAGGCAGAAACAUACUUACAGUUAUGGACAGACAAGAUAUUAUCUGAUGUGUUUAAAAGACAGAUUGACAUAUCGAUUAGUAGACCAGUAGUUCAACAGAAAGAAGAAGAGUGCCCUAUCCAGUCUUAAAUUUCAUACAAAAUAUGUUUUAGCACUGACAGCCACCAAUAAGUUUUAUCUCCUCUGGAUUUUGCUUUAUUUGGCAAUUAGCAGAUAAGAAUAAUUUUCUAGAUUUUAAGAAGUGAGGAAUCAGUGUAAGAAUUGGUAAGCCUUGUUAAGAUGACAGAAGAGAUUGUUUAUCAAUAGAGGGAAGUUUGGUUUAUGUAGAUAAACUUUAUAAAAAAAAAUAAAUUUCUCCUGUAAAGUAAAACAAGUCUUGGACAGUUUAUAUGCCCAAAUAUUUCCCUUCUGAUGUAGAGAAUGGGAUCAUCAACUUUUAUGAAUUCACUACAGAAUGAAACUCAUCUCUUUUAAACCAGAGGACCAGUGCAGGAGGAACCACAAUCGUUGUUAUCACUCUGUAUCAUUGAGAUUUAAGUCAAACAUAUGGGCUAUUGACUAAUGGAGUCAGUUUGACUUGGGGCAUC